rfam:Schistosoma mansoni strain Puerto Rico chromosome 2, complete genome
AGCUUUCUGACUGCGUGUAGAGAUUUCGUCAGACACUAACCCAUUAGGGCUGAUCAGACUUUCAAGAUAAGUGAAGUU